rnacentral:rRNA from 1 species
CACGUAGGGGGCAAGCGUUGUCCGGAAUCAUUGGGCGUAAAGCGCACGUAGGCGGCUUUUUAAGUCAGGGGUGAAAUCCUGGAGCUCAACUCCAGAACUGCCUUUGAUACUGAGAGCUUGAGUCCGGGAGAGGUGAGUGGAACUGCGAGUGUAGAGGUGAAAUUCGUAGAUAUUCGCAAGAACACCAGUGGCGAAGGCGGCUCACUGGCCCGGUACUGACGCUGAGGUGCGAAAGCGUGGGGAGCAACAGG